CCUACGGGGUGCUGCAGUGGGGAAUAUUGGACAAUGGGCGAAAGCCUGAUCCAGCCAUGCCGCGUGUGUGAAGAAGGCCUUCGGGUUGUAAAGCACUUUCAGUGGGGAAGAAAGCCUUGGGGCUAAUACCCUCGAGGAAGGACAUCACCCACAGAAGAAGCACCGGCUAACUCCGUGCCAGCAGCCGCGGUAAUACGGAGGGUGCGAGCGUUAAUCGGAAUUACUGGGCGUAAAGCGCGCGUAGGCGGUCUGAUAAGCCGGUUGUGAAAGCCCCGGGCUCAACCUGGGAACGGCAUCCGGAACUGUCAGGCUAGAGUGCAGGAGAGGAAGGUAGAAUUCCCGGUGUAGCGGUGAAAUGCGUAGAGAUCGGGAGGAAUACCAGUGGCGAAGGCGGCCUUCUGGACUGACACUGACGCUGAGGUGCGAAAGCGUGGGUAGCAAACAGGAUUAGAUCCCCGGUAGUC
rnacentral:rRNA from 1 species